rnacentral:piRNA from 1 species
UCAAUGGUUUAAACUAGGACUUACUCAUGUU